GAUGAAGAACGUAGUAAAAUGCGAUACUUGGUGUGAAUUGCAGAAUCCCGUGAACCAUCGAGUUUUUGAACGCAAGUUGCGCCCGAAGCCUUUUGGCCGAGGGCACGUCUGCCUGGGCGUCGCGCAUCGCGUCGCCCCCCACAAUUCUCCGUAAAGGGAACAUGUGUUUUGGGGGCGGAUAUUGGUCUCCCGUGCUCAUGGCGUGGUUGGCCGAAAUAGGAGUCCUUUCGAUGGACGCACGAACUAGUGGUGGUCGUAAAAACCCUCGUCUUUUGUUUCGUGCUGUUGCUCGCAAGGUAAACUCUUUAAAAACCCCAAUGUGUCGUCUCUUGACGACGCUUCGACCGCGACCCCAGGUCAGGCGGGACUACCCGCUGAGUUUAAGCAUAUCAAUAAGCGGAGGA
rnacentral:misc_RNA from 1 species